rnacentral:rRNA from 1 species
AUUGAACGCUGGCGGCAGGCCUAACACAUGCAAGUCGAGCGGAUGAAGGGAGCUUGCUCCUGGAUUCAGCGGCGGACGGGUGAGUAAUGCCUAGGAAUCUGCCUGGUAGUGGGGGAUAACGUCCGGAAACGGGCGCUAAUACCGCAUACGUCCUGAGGGAGAAAGUGGGGGAUCUUCGGACCUCACGCUAUCAGAUGAGCCUAGGUCGGAUUAGCUAGUUGGUGGGGUAAAGGCCUACCAAGGCGACGAUCCGUAACUGGUCUGAGAGGAUGAUCAGUCACACUGGAACUGAGACACGGUCCAGACUCCUACGGGAGGCAGCAGUGGGGAAUAUUAGACAAUGGGCGAGAGCCUGAUCCAGCCAUGCCGCGUGUGUGAAGAAGGUCUUCGGAUUGUAAAGCACUUUAAGUUGGGAGGAAGGGCAGUAAGUUAAUACCUUGCUGUUUUGACGUUACCAACAGAAUAAGCACCGGCUAACUUCGUG